GGAAAGAAAAAAAAAGAAGAGAGAGGGAAGAGAGAAGGGAGAGAGAAGAGAGGGGAAUCCGGCCAGGGGUCGGUCACCAGACGGCCACCGGAGGCUCGCCGGCGCCGGCGCCGGCCACCACACGCGGUGGCCGGAAAAGGUAAAAAAUUUUAUUUUUUUAUUUUUUAUUUCUUGUAUUUUUUAUAUUAUACUUUCAUACAUUUAACGUAUUUAAUGUAUGUAUUAGUGAGAAAAUAAACAAAAAUAAAAAUAAAUCUAGAACCACCUCUUGUUUUCGAUUUGCAAUCUUGGUGUUUUGUGCGCCGAUUUGGUGGUUGUUUUUUUUUUGUGUUGAUAUCUAUUUCGGACUGGUAUUCUUGCUAUAUCUACUGACUUUUUUGAAAUAUAUGUGUAUUCAAAAGAUCUAAAAAUCAAGAACCCCCUUUACAGAAAGCCAAAUAGGCUUUUAUAGCCUUUACAAAAUUGUAUUUAAUAUUUAUUGUCUUGUCUUCUUUCUGGUCCUGCAGGGAGUGGGUGAAGGUGACAGAGGCAUGGUGGUACAGAGGAGCAGGUGGCCGACAUGGUGGCAUGGAGAGCUGGGGUGCCAGGGUAUGGGGCUGAUGGCUGGUGUCAGAACAAGUGGAAUUAGGGUUUCCUCUCUGCUGAUUUGUUUUGGGCUGCUGGGCUAGGUUAAUUUAGGGUAUUGGGCUAGUAGUACUUGGGUUAGGCUAAUUGGGCUGAAAAUAUUGUAAACAAGCUUGGGUUAGUAAGGGUUUGAAAUGUAUUUGGGUUUGGCAAAAUUGGGUAUGUACAGAUUUAAUCAUUCCAAUACAUCACAUAAUCAUC
rnacentral:lncRNA from 1 species